GACGAACGCUGGCGGCGUGCUUAACACAUGCAAGUCGUACGGUAAGGCCCUUUCGGGGGUACACGAGUGGCGAACGGGUGAGUAACACGUGAGUAACCUGCCCACAACUUUGGGAUAACGCUAGGUAACUGGUGCUAAUACUGGAUAUGUUCUCCUGCUGCAUGGUGGGGGUUGGAAAGCUCCGGCGGUUGUGGAUGGACUCGCGGCCUAUCAGCUUGUUGGUGGGGUAGUGGCCUACCAAGGCGGCGACGGGUAGCCGGCCUGAGAGGGUGACCGGCCACAUUGGGACUGAGAUACGGCCCAGACUCCUACGGGAGGCAGCAGUGGGGAAUAUUGCACAAUGGGCGAAAGCCUGAUGCAGCAACGCCGCGUGCGGGAUGACGGCCUUCGGGUUGUAAACCGCUUUCAGCAGGGACGAAGCUUUUUGUGACGGUACCUGCAGAAGAAGCACCGGCUAACUACGUG
rnacentral:rRNA from 1 species